UACGGAGGGGGCUAGCGUUGUUCGGAAUUACUGGGCGUAAAGGGCGCGUAGGUGGCCUGUGGAAGUCUGCGGUGAAAGCCCGGCGCUCAACGCCGGGUCGGCCGUGGAUACUCUCGGGCUUGAGCUUACUAGAGGCAGAUGGAAUUCCGGGUGUAGCGGUGGAAUGCGUAGAUAUCGUCAAGAACACCGAUAGCGAAGGCAGCUUACCAAGCAGUAACUGACGCUGAGGCACGAAAGUGCGGGGAUCAAACAGG
rnacentral:rRNA from 1 species